rnacentral:rRNA from 1 species
AUGCACUGGUAUGCGCGGUGGAAAAUGUGCGUCCCAAAGAAGAAGGAUGGUAUGGGGUUUAGAGACCUUCACAACUUUAAUCUUGGUAUGUUAGCAAAGCAGUGUUGGUGACUUCUCCAAAAUCCCGACUCUCUAUGUGCGCAAGUGCUGAGUGCUAAGUACUAUCCAGAUGGUGACAUACUAAAAGCAUGCCCACAGAAAGGUUCCUCGUUCACAUGGCAAAGCAUUGUUGCAGGAAUUCAGACCUUUAAAAGAGGAUGCAUUUGGUGGGUGGGAUCAGAUUCACACAUAAACAUUUGGGAAGACCCUUGGAUCCCUUGUAGUACAGUCUAG